UCUUUUUAUUGUGUGCCAGCCGCCGCGGUAAUACGGAGGAUGCGAGCGUUAUCCGGAUUUAUUGGGUUUAAAGGGAGCGCAGACGGGUCGUUAAGUCAGCUGUGAAAGUUUGGGGCUCAACCUUAAAAUUGCAGUUGAUACUGGCGUCCUUGAGUGCGGUUGAGGUGUGCGGAAUUCGUGGUGUAGCGGUGAAAUGCUUAGAUAUCACGAAGAACUCCGAUUGCGAAGGCAGCACACUAAGCCGUAACUGACGUUCAUGCUCGAAAGUGUGGGUAUCAAACAGG
rnacentral:rRNA from 1 species